GAGCGCGUGCACACCCACCCGCACCGCCGCACGCUCAACCGGGCCACUUAUCUUACAGAAAGCUGGGCUACGAGAGACCACCACCACCGCCACGGCCCGCGCUGCGUCAGCCGACGAACCCACCGUGGCCACGCCCCCGGAGGCAUCGAGGGCAGCACAGUUGCGCCGCGCCGACGGUGCCGGACGAGCAGCCGACCGGCCGUCGACCAGUGGCUCCCACCGAGUCCAGGUUCCUCCCGCGGCGCCACCCAAAGGCGCAGCCGCGCGAGGUACCCCGGGCGGCGGCUGCGGCAAGUGAGGUGAGGUGAGGCUCUUUCUCAAGUCGCUGGUUUCGGGGCCAGUCGGACGAAUCGUUUGAAACGGGGGUUGAUGUUACCCACGAUGUUAGCUUUGAUGAUGACUAGAUCCAGUUCAUCCCCUUUUGGUGCGUUUGGUACUGGUUCGGUUCGAGGAAGUAGACGAUUUGAUCCUUACUCUGAACCUAUCCUAAUUUAGAGAACUGAUUUAUUGAUCCUUACUCUGAACCUAUCCUAAUUUAGAGAGCUGAUUUAUUUAGUUUGGGGAACGUAAUGAGUCGAUUCAGUACAGAAAUACAUUACCACAUCAUCUGUAUGGAAGAAGGAUUGAGAUGAGGGCCUACGAGAUCAGCACUUUAUUUGGUCUCUUCUCUAGCAAUUCACUUGGGCACAUAAUGAUGCGUGAUUGGUUGGGCAAUUCACUUGAGCACAUAAUGAUGCGUGAUUGGUUUGGCAAUCGUUAGAAGGUAAGCAAACUUGUGAUGUGAUUGCAGUUUGGAUUUUUAAUUCAAAAUUGCAAUGUUCUCCGCAGCUUGUAUUAUUCAUGGUAUAACCAAAAUGAUGGCUUUGCACCGUUAGGUAUGGAAUAGCUACUGCCAUUUAUGCUGUAUUAUGCUAUUAGGUUGUGAGGAUGUGUAGGCUGCGUACCGCCACAUUCAUCCCUGUCCACUACUUUUCUUCCUACAUAGGGGCCCUAUGCUAAGUAGGUACCUCGUAUUCUUUUUGUGGUGUAGAAUUGCGGACUGUAUAUGCUGCUGUUUGGAUGGUUUUGUGUGAUUGCUGUCACCGAUGGUGUUAUGUUAGGGUGGUCCAGUGUUAGUGACUAUGAAAUGUGUGGUGGAUGCAAGAUGGCUGUUAUGCUGGUGGUGAAUUGAUAGUUCAGCUGAUGAUUGAAGCCAGUGUUAAGCCCUCGGAUAGGCAAUGUGGAAUAUACACAUUUUUGUUUUGUAGUGGGGCGUGUAUUCUCUUAGCACGGGUACUGCCCUCUGGAGGUGUACAUAUCAGGAAUCAGCAACAAUAUGGCACUCAGCACUAUCUUGAUGUCUCCUUGUUUGGUUAAAUAGGUUUUUGGAGCAGUAUGAAAGCAUUGAAAAAAAAACUCCUUUGCUGGGCCGGUGGAAAAAAGAACAAGUAUGGAGUCGGAAUUCUGACUUGCUCUUUGGAUCCUAUGAAGAUUAAGAGUAUUUGUUUUGUAUGCCAUCAGUCAUCAGACACUUCCAAGUUCCAACUGAACGUUGUAACCUAAGCCUAGAUUCUCAACUGUGGAGGACUAAUCAUGCAGUUGCACUUAAAUGUCAAAUACUAUAUAUUUGAUCAAUGUUAGGGCCCUUUUGACACUGUAAAUCUUCUUGAUUGCCUCUAAUAUUAAUGCAUAUUCUUUGCCAAAUGAAUCUGCAUAUAGUAUCUUUUACUAUCUGCAUCAACUUUAGUUUAUAACUAGCCAGAUACCCAUGCUUUGCUACGGAUUAAAACAAAUUAAUAGUGAGGUUUUUGGGACAAUUUUGUACCUGUAGAUGUUAUAUUGUACAGGUGAAAUAUGAUAUAAUCAUAUAUGUAAAGGGAUUAUUUUAUAACAUAAAAGUACAUGGGGUAGUUGGUAUAAAACAUGAUGGAGUAGAUGGUAAAUAAGAAGUUACUAUACUUGGUGAGGUGGAGGCAGUGAAUCUGCCACCACCAUUGCCCUCUUUUAAGAAGAAUAUCGAUAUGUCUGAAACCAUUUUUAGGUACAUUGAGAUGUUCUUGACUCCAGAGGAUGCAUUUGAGCUGGCUACAAAAGAGCUACAGCAUACUGCUGUGUCCAGGUAACCUUUUAUUCCUCUGUCCUUUUCUAGUUCUGUCAUAUUUUAUAUCUUCAGUUAUCAUUAGUGACUCAGUAAAUCUGCAUCCACAUAUUUUAUUUUGUAUUCUGUAUAUGUCUCAACAUGUCCAUCCGGAGUAUCUUUUCAUAUUUAUGAACUGACAUUUCUAAUAAUGUAUGAAUUACUAUUUUGUCCUGUAGUCAAAUUCACCUCUAGGCUCUAAGCUAACUACAGUUGGUGAUGAAGUCACUAGCUCCUGCACCAAUUUGUAUAGUGACCUCGGUGUAAGUGUGUAGCAUGAUAUCCACCGUGAGACCUUUCAAGAGACAUGACUCUUCUUUUGACCAUCUUCCUAUUCCAAGUGCUUAACGUCUUUGACUUAACCAGAGUGAUCUUGUACCUGUGAGCAUGUCACGACAGGAAGAGAUUUGGAGGCUCAAGAAGAGUCCAAAACUCUGCUUACAUCCAUCUCAUAGUUUGUCAUGCAUGAAUGCAGUAUUAUCACACGGUUGUCUCUAGAGGUCAGCUAUUUUUCUCAUUGCAAAAUGCUAUUUUCACUGAUCGCUGUCAUCCUCCACCAACCUACUAAGGUCGUUAGUGGGGAAGCUUCACGCUCGACAUCUUUCAAAUUGAGGGAGAAUGAGCUGUCUGUCCUUGCCUCCAAGCUUCUUUUCUUAUAUUAUUCUAGUGGUUGACACAUUUCACUGAGAGUCAACUUGGAGUAAACAAAGCUACUCCUUCAAUUGCCUGUCAUUAAGUUCACCGUACACAGAGCCUCCUCCUGGUGUGCUUUUCCUCUUCUAUUAGAAUAUGUGAUGCGCGUGCUUAAUGCUGCCUAUCCUUGUUUUGUCUCUCUCCCUUUCCUAAAGGUGGAGGGUCCGUGUGUAGUCAUUCCUUUAGAUAUUAUAUAUAACCACUUGAAAAACUUUAUGUGUAGGCGUGAUGCCCCUGCAAUGCUUGUUUAUGGUCUUCUUAAAUCUUAAGCAUGUUGUAAAUACAUGGAUAGGAUACGACUGGUUAUUCUUCCUGUCUCUUGUCAAAGCUCAAGUUGAAAACUUUGCCACCGCACUUGGGUUGACAUCUCAACCUAAUUGCUAUUUGACACUGCUAACUUUGAGCACGCGAAAGGAAAUUUCUCCAGUCCAUGCUUGUGUAGUUAGCUACCCAGAGUGCAGACUUGGUGUACUGCACGAAUGGAGACAGGGUGGCGGCAUUGGAAACCAUAUUCUUUGUUCGAUGAUAUCCAAAGUUAGUCAUCCCCUUAUAAACAAGAACCUGACGAAAAGUGCCUGCUGUUCCUUUCACAACAUUCCUUUAGCUCGAUGAGACAACCAAUUUCAGUCAGCUGAUCCCAGAUGACAAUUAGGUUACUGAGUAUUAUUAGGGCACGCUUCCUCCUCCUCUUAAUUUAACUGCUAAGAUUACCAGUUUUUUUGGGUCAGAUCAGGCAAGUGAUCAGGGAUGAGUUUUCUGAGAAUUAAAUAGUGGAAGUGGAGUUCACAUAAUUGUCAGCAGGAACCACCGCUGUGGCAAGUCUAAAGCACAGGAAAUAAAUUAUUUGUAUUUAUUUAGUGUUACUGAUUGGAGGCCAUUUGCUCAACCAUUUGAGUGUGGACCAGAUGAUCAUAUGCUGACAAGUGUUAUGAGCAAUCCCAGUUUCCACUGAAGUCCUGUUAUUAAAUUUCAAGCUCGUCUUUAUUUUGUUCUAUAAUCUGUGCGGGUCCCCAGGAUAUUAUUGAUUUGAAGAAAGGCUAUUUGAGGCAUGCUGCUUGUGAUGGGACACAUUUUAAGCUUAUACUCCACUAUGCCCCUUUUACACGUGCCAAGGUGUGAUCCAUUGUGAGUUCUUGUCAAUAGCUAAUUUGAGUAUUUAUUCAUAUCAUGGGCUCAUUGCUAAUCUUAGUUUUGAAUAUGAGUGCUAUUUUUCAUGUAUUCCUUUUUAAAUUUGCACUAGCCUAGUGCUUAUAACCUUCUCAUAUCCAUGAUUAUGUAUUAAAAAAACUGUGCCAGCAGCCCAGCAUUUUGUACAGCAGUAAUUCUCAGUCCAAGCUAACAAUUUGCUGACUUGAAUAUAGUGUGAAAUCACUCUGUUAUUGGGGCGCUCCUGUAGCUGUAAGUGCCACUUUCUUCUCUUGCUGGAACAUGUAAACUACUGCUUUGCGAAGGAAAGAAAAUCACAGAGUACAUAUUGAGUUACAUCAGUAUGCUAUAUAUUUGCUCAUAUGUUACUUUCUGUAUUUGAGAUAUCUGUUAUACUACAUAUGAUGCCCGUUUUGUUACCCUGAUAAAAAAAAAACUGUCUGCUUUAGUCACCGGUCUCAUUCUGUAGCUUUCCCUUUCAGUUUUGUCUUGGAAAUUUCAUCUCCCUAGGUUUCUUAGCAUAUUACCCUAUAGUUCUACAUCUAUUUGUCAUGCUAAUGAAGAUACUAAAGUAUUUUAAUCAACAGUUUAUUUGCAUUUUUACCGGAGUACCUCACUGGGAAGAGAUGCCUUAUCCUCAAUUAAGGAAAGGCAGCCAACACAUUAUGCUGUUUCCCUGCUUCUCUUUCUGCAUCUGACCUGCCGCUGAUUUUAAUCUGUGUUCAGAUUUCAGGCUGAUACUUUCCUGGCAUUCACACAUCAUCUUAUGUGACGCAAAGCGUCAGGAAGCAAUGAAUUGCAUUCUUGAAGCCUUUGUCCCCAAGCCCACUACCACCAAAGCCAUCACCGUCACUCACCAACCCUAGGGCGAGCUCUUUGUUCAAUGGCCCUGCAAAUGCAGUCUCUGCUCCAUUGUUGGCCGAGCAGCAAGAGAACAAAGAGUAAACAAGACAAGGUGGUGCAGUAAGCAGGGAACUAAACAGCAGAGGGAUUCAUGACACUGAGACACAGUCAACUGACCCACUCAAGUGGAAGAAGACCAUGGAGCAAAGUAGCUCUUCUUACUGUUUCUGAGAAUAUUCCUCCCUCGUCGGCCAUAGCUGUGUGAUUUCCCAUGGCUUCAUUUUGUAAUGAUAAGUUACCUGACAUGGUCAUGGUAAAGUAAAGUUGAUGAAAAAAGUCAGCUUAGAUCUUCACCAUCUGGAAGACAUACUAUCAGCAGACUAAGCAGCACGUCCAUAUCAUUUCCAGAAUCAUAUCAAGCAGGCUGCUGAGCGUGCGACGGGUUUUGCAGAAGCACAAGGCUGGUACACAGAGAUGCUCGAGUUUCCGGUGUUUGCGUGUUUACCACUACGAAAGAACACUAUUAGGACAGAGUGAUGCUCUUGAUGCGCAAGAAGCCGGGUGCUGCUUACUCCGUGCGAGUUGUGACAGGCACCUUUCAUGGACCAAUCGCCCAUCACCGAAUAACGUGGCAGCAGUCUCAGUGAGAAGGUUGGCAGGUUAUCACCGUGUCUCGUACUGACAAUUCAAGUUUCUGAAUUAACCUAUGCCCAUUUCUUCUGCAUCUAUAAAACCUUGUAAUUAAGAAGCUUUUGUCCUGCCUCUAAUUUUUACCUUUAGAAGUAAAACUAUAUAUAUGCACAUCAUGUUAUCUUAAGUGAUGUACUGUCUCCUUCCCAAAAUAUAGCUAUUUUUAGCACAA